CGAGCGCGCCUUCGGGUGAGCGGCGGACGGGUGAGUAACACGUGGGAAUAUGCCCUUUGGUACGGAAUAGUCCUGGGAAACUGGGGGUAAUACCGCAUACGCCCUUUGGGGGAAAGAUUUAUCGCCAAAGGAUUAGCCCGCGUUGGAUUAGGUAGUUGGUGGGGUAAUGGCCUACCAAGCCGACGAUCCAUAGCUGGUUUGAGAGGAUGAUCAGCCACACUGGGACUGAGACACGGCCCAGACUCCUACGGGAGGCAGCAGUGGGGAAUCUUAGACAAUGGGGGCAACCCUGAUCUAGCCAUGCCGCGUGAGUGAUGAAGGCCCUAGGGUUGUAAAGCUCUUUCAGCUGGGAAGAUAAUGACGGUACCAGCAGAAGAAGCCCCGGCUAACUCCGUGCCAGCAGCCGCGGUAAUACGGAGGGGGCUAGCGUUGUUCGGAAUUACUGGGCGUAAAGCGCACGUAGGCGGACCAGAAAGUUGGGGGUGAAAUCCCGGGGCUCAACCCCGGAACUGCCUUCAAAACUAUUGGUCUGGAGUUCGAGAGAGGUGAGUGGAAUUCCGAGUGUAGAGGUGAAAUUCGUAGAUAUUCGGAGGAACC
rnacentral:rRNA from 1 species